rnacentral:rRNA from 1 species
AGCAGUAGCCGCGGUAAUACGUAGGGUGCAAGCGUUAAUCGGAAUUACUGGGCGUAAAGCGUGCGCAGGCGGUUUGUUAAGACAGAUGUGAAAUCCCCGGGCUCAACCUGGGAACUGCAUUUGUGACUGGCAAGCUAGAGUAUGGCAGAGGGGGGUGGAAUUCCGCGUGUAGCAGUGAAAUGCGUAGAUAUGCGGAGGAACACCGAUGGCGAAGGCAGCCCCUGGGCCAAUACUGACGCUCAUGUACGAAAGCGUGGGGAGCAAACAGGAUUAGAUACCCCCGUAGUCCCUGUCUCUUAUACA